GCCCCUUCCUCGCUGUCAGCCCCACACUCGUGCUCCAGCGCUGGCUCCAGCUCCCUCAGCAGCUCCUGGGGGAAGGAACAGCCCUGAGCCCCCCCGAGCACCCCCAGAGCGUGGCAAGGGGGUGCUGGAGCCCCCCCAGUCCCCAGUUUAGCCUGCACCCCACUCACCCCCCGGCUCUGGAGCUUCCUGUGUGCCGCCAGCCGCUCCUUGAACUGCCGCCAGUACAGCACCUCCAGGCUGCAGAGAACCAUCUCGUGAAAUCCUGCAGCUUCCUCGGGCCCCUCCUCUUCCUCUUGCCUCCAACCACAUCAUCCAGCCCGUGUGGCACCAGGGCCCCGGGAACGUCGUCAUCGUCAGGUCCUGCAGCACCUGAGGGGUGGGAAUGGGCAGAGGCUGCAGAAGCUUCCAGAACCCUUCAUCCCACCCUGUCCGCCAAGGAAUUCCUCCGGGAGCUUCUCCUGCCAGGGCCAAGGGGCAGCAGAGGGCAGCAGCAGGGAAUGGUGCAGUUGGUUGGGGUGGAAAAUCCCUCAGAGCCCAAAUCCAAGCGUUCCCAGGGCUGCCAGGGCCUCCACUGCCCGUGUCCCCAAGUGCCACCCCUCCAGGGAUGGGAUCCCACCCCCGUGCCAGGCUGCACAGCCCUUUCCAGGAGGAAAUUCCCCAAAAUCCCC